rnacentral:lncRNA from 1 species
CGUACGCCAACAUAUCGUCGUUGAUGUCGUCGAAAUUGUAGUUCGUCUGCAAUGUAACAAAUUAAUUACAUACAUUAAGUAAUAUAAAUAUAUAAAUUUGAAGGAAAAACAAUUAAAAGGUAGGAUACUUACCGACAACUGUGUGUGCACCUUCAUCCUCACUUCGUCCGGCAUCGCCUUCCAAGACUUCCGUUGCAUAGGGCAAUAGGUCCAAAUGACGUGACCAAUGUCGUGGGCCAAUGCGCUAUGCUGCUCUGCCGUUGGUGCAGCCCAAUGCCGAUUGUUGUAUCCGAUGGUGAUACGUUCGUUGGUCACCCGAGUGACCUUCGCUGUCUUCAACUGGCGACAAGGUCCUAAGGUAUUUUUCUUUGCUGCAAAAACAUAAAAAAAAACAUUCAAACAAACACAACAAAUAAAACAAAAAUUCUGGCAUAACCUCCCCUAAAAUUAUAACAAUUCCUAACCCUAGACAUUGUAAUGAAUAAUAUAUGAUAUCCAACAACAAUCACAACAGUUGAAUAAGCCAAAUUUGGACCAAAUGCACAAUUGCAUUAUGUAACAAUUUUGAUUGAAAGAAAGCUCGGACAGUUAACCUUUAUAGUAGCACACUAGUAAUAGUAAUUUCCAAUAAGCUGGAGAAACUAACAAAAUUUAAAUUCAUAUGCAGGAUCAAGUCAUGGAAACCACUAAGCUAAGUUUUUGUGUGGAUCAUAAUAGCUCAGCAAAAUUCUAGAAACAAGAAUACAAAAAUGACAAGGAAUUAUUAUGGAAAAUUCAAAACAACUUUAGUAAAACAAAGGCAAAUGGAUACUCUAGGAAGCACAAAGGUAAUGUAAGAUAUGUUAUAUAAUUUAAAAGCAGCACCUUGCUAUGGCGUGGCCAUGUUUGGCUAGUCCCUUUUCUAAGUCGACAAAACUUACACUUGACUUAUAAAUGUGUAUCAACUAUUUUAUGGUAGAUUGAUAAUUAAUAAGAACAAAUCUAAGUGUAGCCCUUUUAAAUUUACUGUUAAAUUGACAACUCAUGGCAUGGAGAGACAAACUUGAUGAAAUAACCAUUCCAAACUGAUUAAGAACAUAAUGAAUUGAAUGAGUUUCUGAAAACUUGACCAAGGUGACUUAUAUAUCAUAUAUCUUAUAAGGCAUUGAUUCUAAUAGCGGGUCACCCCUAUUUGUGUAGGCAUUCAUAAGGAAAUAAAUGGAGUUAUUUAACUUUACCUGGUUGUGACCAUGAGGCAUUAGUAGUGGAUGCUGAUGUCAUGUCGGGCGUGCGAGGGCGGCGGUGAGCACGCCAUGCGCUAGUAGGUAGCACCACUGAAGAGGCUGAUGGCACUGGCGUUUGGGAGACCCGGGGACCAACUAGAUCAACUGGAUCCAACGAAUUAACCAGCAUGGGGUCCAUUUCUGCUGGAGUAGUGGCAGCUGCACUAGGAGGUAGGGGAAUCAAACAGGUUGUAGUCGUCAUUGCCUUACGACUUAUAAUAAGUUGUGACAUCUGCACAAUUAGAAAAAAAAAAUUCAAUGCAUAUAUAUGGUUAAACUAGAAAAACUCGGCCAUUUUGAAAGAUGGCAAAGAAGAGAUUGACGAUACAAAUAUUUAAGUAUUUGAUAACAUACUGUUCAAAUGGAAAUGACAGAAAAAUAAAUAUAAUUACAAGGAACCAGAGGGACAUGUUUGAAUCUUUGAAAAAAUUCUUAGUUCUUCCACAAAUAAUCAUAUUUGACACAUGUAACAUUUCACUAAAUG